rnacentral:rRNA from 1 species
UACGUAGGGCGCAAGCGUUGUCCGGAAUUAUUGGGCGUAAAGAGCUUGUAGGUGGUUUGUCGCGUUGUUCGUGAAAUCUCACGGCUUAACUGUGAGCGUGCGGGCGAUACGGGCAGACUAGAGUACUGCAGGGGAGACUGGAAUUCCUGGUGUAGCGGUGGAAUGCGCAGAUAUCAGGAGGAACACCGGUGGCGAAGGCGGGUCUCUGGGCAGUAACUGACGCUGAGAAGCGAAAGCGUGGGGAGCGAACAGG